CCUUUGUACACACCGCCCGUCGCUACUACCGAUCGAAUGGCUCAGUGAGGCUUUCGGACUGACCCAGGGAGGUCGGCAACGACCACCCCGGGACGGAAAGUUAUCCAAACUCGGUCAUUUAGAGG
rnacentral:rRNA from 1 species